rnacentral:rRNA from 1 species
GAUGAACGCUAGCGGCAGGCUUAAUACAUGCAAGUCGAGGGGCAGCACAGGUAGCAAUACUGGGUGGCGACCGGCAAACGGGUGCGGAACACGUACACAACUUACCUUCUGGUGGGGGAUAGCCUUUGGAAACGGAGAUUAAUACCCCAUAUUAUAUAUGAGCUGCAUGGUUUGUAUAUUAAAGAUUUAUUGCCGGAAGAUGGGUGUGCGUAUGAUUAGGUAGUUGGCGGGGUAACGGCCCACCAAGCCGACGAUCAUUAACUGGUGUGAGAGCACGACCAGUCACACGGGCACUGAGACACGGGCCCGACUCCUACGGGAGGCAGCAGUAAGGAAUAUUGGUAAAUGGACGGAAGUCUGAACCAGCCAUGCCGCGUGGAGGAUGAAGGUCCUCUGGAUUGUAAACUUCUUUUAUAGGGGGCGAAAAAAGGGAAUUCUUUCUCGUCUGACGGUACCCUAUGAAUAAGCACCGGCUAACUCCGUGCCAGCAGCCGCCGUAAAAC